AGGACGAACGCUGGCGGCGCGCUUAACACAUGCAAGUCGAGCGAGAACCAGAGCUUCGGCUCUGGGGACAGCGGCGAACGGGUGAGUAACACGUGAGUAAUCUGCCCUCGACACUGGGAUAGCCCGGGGAAACCCGGAUUAAUACCGGAUAGCCUUUCGAGCUCUCGGGCUCGUCAGAAAAGGAUGGCUUCGGCUUUCGGUUGAGGAUGAGCUUGCGGCGGAUUAGCUUGUUGGUGAGGUAACGGCUCACCAAGGCGACAAUCCGUAGCUGGUCUGAGAGGACGAUCAGCCACACUGGGACUGAGACACGGCCCAGACUCCUACGGGAGGCAGCAGUGGGGAAUCUUGCGCAAUGAGCGAAAGCUUGACGCAGCGACGCCGCGUGAGGGAAGAAGGCCUUCGGUUAGUAAACCUCUUUCAGGACGGACGAAGCCGCUCGGUUAAUACCCGAGAGGUAGACGGUACCUCCAAGAAGAAGACCCCGACUAACGUACGU
rnacentral:rRNA from 1 species